GGUCUCUUAGUUUAACGGUAAAACAACUGGCCUUCACUCAGUUAUUAGGAGUUCGAUUCUUCUAGAGAUCA
rnacentral:tRNA from 1 species